rnacentral:lncRNA from 1 species
GAGACUUGGGGUGAUGCCAGAGACAGGUUUUCUUGCAAAGGUGGGGAGCUCUGCCCUGGGCUAUCAGAAGUCUCCAAGAGUUGGAUUCCACUGAGAAGCCUGGCUCCCAGCACAGCUGGGGUGUGGGCAGUGGCCAGCUGAGUAAGCCUUUUCACUGCAGGGCUCCCGCUACCUUAUCUCCAAGCAGGCCAGCACCUGGAUGUAUGACAGUGAAUCCCUGAACCUCCCAAAAGGAUACCUCUUGAGAUAUGCCUCUUGAGAUAUGCCCAUUCUGGGAAAGGAGACAUAGUUGCUGGUCAGUUGGUGGUGUUUCCUCUGUCCCUCAUGGGCAGUAUUUUGCAAUAAACUGUCUUGCUUGGCUCCUCUAUGCACACAGAACUAGCUUAUACCCCAGAAGAAGGCAGGGAUCAGGAAGCCCAGUCCAGAGGGUGGCAGGGUACCCAUAACACCCAGACCUGCUUUGGGAGAAGUGCAACCCUCCUAUCUCAUAUAGGAACAAACAUCAAAGGAGUUCUCCAGUGCCCUUUCCUCAUGAUGCCUCACUUCUGUAGCCAGGCCUGUCAUACCUGCUCUGUCCUCAUGUCCAGAGCUGCUUCCAUGUCUCCUCCCUUCCAUUCCCCUCAAACUCCCCCCGACUCUGCACACCUUCUAGAAGAACAGCCUCACACUAAGACAUGGAGAGUAUAUAAGCAAGAAACAGCACAACUGUCCAUCAACAGAGCAAGGGUACGUAGCCUAUGAGACUCUCAUGCACAGGAUUUAAUGCAGCAGCAGAAAGUAAACAGGCUACACGCAACCAGAUGACGACUCACAAAUACUGAGUGCAAAGAAUGAAAUGCGAAUAGGAAGAUGUUCCCAUCCUUGAGACCUUCAAAAACAGGAGACAGAAAACUACUCUUUGGGAUGUGAGGACAUGGUAAUGACAAAAACCAGGGCAAAAGGCCACCUUAGGGGUGGAGCAAGUAGGUCAGGGAGAAUAUGUAACUCCAUGGUGCUGGGGAUGCUACAGGUCGUGAUUGGGGAGGUGUCAGCCACACUCAGUACAAUUCAUCAACCUCCACAGAUAUUCUUCAUGCACUUUAUUUCACAAAGUUCACACAAAAAGAGAUCUACCUCCAUCCUCGGGUCUGCCUUAGUUUUCUCAGGGCACUGGCCCCUCAUGUCUUGCCCAGAUGGUCUUAGUGGGGAAAACUGGGUAGGGAGCUGCCAGGGCUUGAGGAUAAACGACUCAGUGGCCCUGGGCCAAUGAACCAUCGAGUACCUCUUUCAUGCCUCCCCUGGGGUGUCCUCCUGUCCUUAGCACUACCAUAUCUUUGCUC